UAGAGAUGAUACCAUUUAAAAAGAACUAAUGACCAGGGAAGUGUACUGUGAUGGUUUCACUCUAGGCCUUCCUGGAGACCAGUUUGUAAACAGGAAGGAACUAGGAAAGUGAUCACGGAAGUAUUCCAUGCUAUUCCUUUACGUAACCUGAGGUAUAAAUAAAACCAGCAGGAGGGACCUCACUCUCUUCCUUUCCGGCGAGGUUGGAGAACGGUGGGUCCCAGUCUCGGUCUGGCUUAUCUGGAGCUGAGGCCUACAGUGACUGCUGUUAUCUGCCACGCGCGGGGGGAGAGUGCUGGGCUGUGUUGAGCCAUCCUGCUUGUUCAAAGGGAAGUGCUGCAGGCCUAAUUACAUGUGGCUAUAGGAAUAUGAGAUGGAUGUCACCUGUAGCAGUAAGGAAAAGGUGAAGACAGAAUGACUGGAGUUUUACAGAGAAAGAUUCAGGACACAUUGCACAAAUGGUGGACACUUUCAGGAAGAAAAGACUGCUGUGGGAAACUAAACACAGCAAGACCUCUUCUGACUAAGGAAGUUCAUGAACUGCAAAUUAUUGUCAGGAUUUUCCGGGAACCACAAACUUUCUCUGUUCCUCUGUGCCUAUAUAGCAAAUAUAUAGGGAAAUAAGCAUCAGAAGUUCAUCAUUACUGGAUA